ensembl:rRNA 5S_rRNA 5S ribosomal RNA
GCCUACGGCCACACCGUCCUGCCGGCGCCCGAUCCCGUCCGAUCUCGGAAGCUAAGCAGGACCGGGCCUGGUUAGUACUUGGACGGGAGACCGCCUGGGAAUACCAGGUGCUGUAGGCU